rnacentral:rRNA from 1 species
GAUGAACGCUGGCGGCGUGCCUAAUACAUGCAAGUCGAGCGAACAGACGAGGAGCUUGCUCCUCUGACGUUAGCGGCGGACGGGUGAGUAACACGUGGAUAACCUACCUAUAAGACUGGGAUAACUUCGGGAAACCGGAGCCAAUACCGGGUAAUAUAUUGAACUGCAUGGUUCAAUAGUGAAAGACGGUUUUGCUGUCACUUAUAGAUGGAUCCGCGCCGCAUUAGCUAGUUGGUAAGGUAACGGCUUACCAAGGCAACGAUGCGUAGCCGACCUGAGAGGGUGAUCGGCCACACUGGAACUGAGUCACGGUCCAGACUCCUACGGGAGGCCGCCGUAGGGACUCUUCCGCAAUGGGCGAAAGCCUGACGGAGCAACGCCGCGUGAGUGAUGCAGGUCUUCGGAUCGUAAAACUCUGUUAUUAGGGAAGAACAAAUGUGUAAGUAACUAUGCACGUCUUGACGGUACCUAAACAGAAAGCCACGGCUAACUACGUG